rnacentral:rRNA from 1 species
GAUGAACGCUGGCGGCGUGCCUAAUACAUGCAAGUCGAGCGAACAGACGAGGAGCUUGCUCCUCUGACGUUAGCGGCGGACGGGUGAGUAACACGUGGAUAACCUACCUAUAAGACUGGGAUAACUUCGGAAAACCGGAGCUAAUACCGGAUAAUAUAUUGAACCGCAUGGUUCAAUAGUGAAAGACGGUUUUGCUGUCACUUAUAGAUGGAUCCGCGCCGCAUUAGCUAGUUGGUAAGGUAACGGCUUACCAAGGCAACGAUGCGUAGCCGACCUGAGAGGGUGGUCGGCCACACUGGAACUGAGACACGGUCCAGACUCCUACGGGAGGCAGCAGUAGGGAAUCUUCCGCAAUGGGCGAAAGCCUGACGGAGCAACGCCGCGUGAGUGAUGAAGGUCUUCGGAUCGUAAAACUCUGUUAUUAGGGAAGAACAAAUGUGUAAGUAACUAUGCACGUCUUGACGGUACCUAAUCAGAAAGCCACGGCUAACUACGUG